AUUGAACGCUGGCGGCAGGCCUAACACAUGCAAGUCGAGCGGAGCGGCGGACGCGUGAGUAAUGCCUAGGAAUCUGCCUGGGAGUGGGGGAGAACGUCCGGAAACGGGCGCUAAUACCGCAUACUUUCAGUUGAGCCUAGGCCGGAUUAGCUAGUUGGUGGGGUAAAGGCCUACCAAGGCGACGAUCCGUAACUGGUCUGAGAGGAUGAUCAGUCACACUGGAACUGAGACACGGUCCAGACUCCUACGGGAGGGAGCAGUGGGGAAUAUUGGACAAUGGGCGAAAGCCUGAUCCAUCCAUGCCGCGUGUGUGAAGAAGGUCUGAGGAUUGUAAAGCACUUUAAGUUGGGAGGCGUUACCCACAGAAGAAGCACCGGCUAACUCCGUGCCAGCAGCCGCGGUAAUAC
rnacentral:rRNA from 1 species